UACGUAAGGUGCAAGCGUUAAUCGGAAUUACUGGGCGUAAAGCGUGCGCAGGCGGUUUCAUAAAACAGAUGUGAAAUCCCCGGGCUCAACCUGGGAACUGCAUUUGCGACUGUGAGGCUAGAGUACGGUAGAGGGGGAUGGAAUUCCGCGUGUAGCAGUGAAAUGCGUAGAUAUGCGGAGGAACACCAAUGGCGAAGGCAAUCCCCUGGACCUGUACUGACGCUCAUGCACGAAAGCGUGGGGAGCAAACAGG
rnacentral:rRNA from 1 species